GCGGAGGGGAGAUUUCGGUCGUGGGAGCGGGAGGCAGAGACAAGGACUCGCAAAGGCUAAAGGCGAAUUCUCUCCAAAAUCUCCAUCUGAAACACCGAAAACUGAAAACUGCAGCUACGGUCUGCCUGGGACCGUUGGCUGUCUGGAGAGGGGGAAAUAAAGCCAGCCCGAGGGGGAAGGAGAGGGUGCUCCCCCAAAGUCCAAGCGGUUAUAACACUUCAAGGGCUUUGAACGGUGCUGAUCCAGUGUUUGGGCAAUUUUACCGAGCCCGCUCGGCAUCCCUCACCCUCCGGUCCCCGCCACCGCGAAGUCCCGCUCCACCCGGGGGCAGCGGAACGCGCCGGGCGGUGCCGGGCGAACGCACGAUCGGGGUGGGGAGAAACUGCCCCGGGAUGAGGGGAGAGGGGCCGAGCGUCCGCUCCGCUCCCUCCUCGCCUUCGGGAGGGAUGCUCGGCUUCGGCGGGGACGGCGGGAAAUUCACAACAGCACCCUGCAAAACCAUUUCUCUGGGAAGACGUGGAGUGUCUCAAGUCAGCUGGGCACAGCUCACAAGCAGCAUUCUGAAGCCAAGUGAUUCUUCCUGUAAACAGAAAUGGUUUGCAGGAGCCUGAUUUGGGAGGACAUGACGGCACCGGAGUUUCUCCCACUCAGAAGUCUGGAGACGUGAGUAUUUCCACCCGUGGAUCUGCUGGAAGCACAAAAGACUCAUCUGGUGACAAAAGACACAUCUCUUUUGGGGCUGGUGGACUUCCCACUUAUCCAGAAUGAGUUUGCACAACAAGGGACCAUUAGUGUCCACAAAACUCUUUGACAGCAGAACAUUCUGUUAAUCUUCUUAUGACGUUAUCAGAGGAAACACUGCACACAGCUAUGUAUAUCCAUUAAAGUCUAUUAUUUCAGCUCA